GUGACAAGCAGUAGUUAGAAGAAGUGUUUUACUGGAAGGUGGGAGAAAUGAAGUGACAAAAACCUGUGCUGUGGUGCUGACAACAGGGCAGGAAAACAAAAGCAGUAACAUCUCUGGAGAACAUUUCCUUCUCCAAGCCUUUACCAGCUGGCAAGAACCAAGGAGGGGACUUCCCCCCUCCUAUGUGAUACAAGUUUCUCUGUGUUCAGACGUGGCAAGCAAAUGCCCUUGAGAACCCCUUGGAGACUGUGACCUCUUACUCCUGUCUGCAUCCAACAUUGCAGUGUUUUGUCCAGCUGUCUGCAGCUCACACAUGCUCUGUGCCUUGCAGUGGCAAUCUGUCAGCUGAAGCAGCCCCAAGGCACGCGAUGGCUGAGCUCCAUAAGCUACCAGCUGAGCUGGGCUCCUGCUCCCCUCUGCCAGAGGUUUCCUUCAUGACCUUGAGUCAGUCAUUUAGUCUUGCCAUGCUUUCCCACGUCUCUGUCUGCAAACUGGGAAAAAUAAUCCUUUUGGCAUUCUCUGUCUCAUCAACUUGCUCUGGAGGUUCCUCACUACCAGGGCUGUUGUUUGCCCUGAUUUCAGCAGGGGUGGAGACCCUGAACCCACAGGUGUACCCACAAAGGCCCUGCCUGGAGUAGCUCACAGACAGCAACUGAAACCACUCCAUCAGUUCUCCUCUCACCCUUCUCACCAUUCUUUUCUCUGUCACCUUUCUCCUCCAGCCUUCAACUGCUCCACUUCACCACCUAACUUCCCCUCUGGUGCUGUCCCUUGCAGGGAUGCCCCUGCAAAGCCCCACACCCCGUCACAACGUGGUGUCCCCCUUGCAGGCACCAGCAGCCGUGGGGCAGCUGCAGAUGCUCGGAGGGAAUUUUCCCCAGCUGCAGCCCAUGGGAAUGUGAGACUUUACACAGCUGAAUCUGCAAACACAGCUGGGCUUAGGGGGCUUUUCCACAGUGUUUGCUGUUUCACACUAAAUCCCAGUUUCAUUUACUUUACCUUGGGGCCGCUUCUGGCAGGCUUUGCUGCAAGGAGAGCUUUUGCAGCCUCAGCGCUGUUGUGGAGCCUUGUGGAGGCUCUCCAGCCACACGAGCAUCUUGCUAUUCCUGUCACACCCUGCUCACCUUGACUUUCCCCAGGAAGCAUUUCCCUGCCCUCUCACCCCAGCUUCAGCUUGCCUGUCCCUUCACCGCCCAUGCUGCCCUCCAUCCCAGUGUGACUGCAGCUCCUGGAAUUCCCUGCCGUGGUACCUGGGCUGCAGGCAGCCUGCCUGGAGACCACAGCACUGGAGCCCACAGCUCACAGCACUGGAGCCCACAGCUCACAGCACUGGAGCUCACAGCUCACAGCUGCCGGCUGCAGGGGAGCCCCAGGGCUCUGCAGGCUCCCAUGGCUGCCGCCAGCAUCAGGAGCUGGAUGGGAAGCAAAUCUUCCCUGCCAAGCCUCUCUUCAAAAGGACUUACAACCGUGUCUAAGGGCUGAUGGUAAAAGCAGGGUAUUUUCCAGGCAGGCCCACGCACUUGUAUCAUGGCUGAUACUCUUGGCCUGGAAACCUGUGUGGCCUGGGGGGACGCCAGAGCUCAUGCUGCUUCACAGCACAGGCAUUUUGACAUUGCUGUUAUUUUCUCUUUCCAGGUACCCCAAAGACAGGUGGUGGCUGAAUUCAAAGCAACUGGCUUGUGGCAACCCCCAGCAAACCCUAGACAGAGUUCCUGACUCGCAGAGCAGCGAGCAAACGGGAAAGCUGGACCAGAAUGGAGCACCAAGUGGCCACCCCUCUCCACUCACCCUCUGUCAAACUCGGCCACGUCGCUCAGCUGUCGCCGGUAUUCCAAACCCACCUGUGGGAGACAGCAGGAAAGAGGAAAUGCUCAGCAUCCUCACCAGUCCCUGAGGAGGAGACAUGGCUAGCAGCCAUCAGCACCCUUGCUGGACCAAGAUGAUGAUGUCUCAAGGAAAUUGGUGCUAAACCAUAAAAGGCACCUCUCUAGGACAGGACAAGAGAAGAUGGGAGUAAGUGCUCUGGCUGGAGACAGGAGCUGGUGAAGAGCCCUGAGCACUGAAAGUGAGCUCACAGAUCCAGAGAUGACCUGGAACAAUGAAAACAAGAGGUUUUGAUUGGGUCCAUCAGCCUCAGUGUGGCUCUACAUGGUACAAGGACUCACCCUUCAGCCAGUUUGGGAAGAAAGAAUGAGAAAAAGCACAGAAGACAGGGGAGGAGUGUAAGUAUGGAAGGUAGAGAGCAGCCAGGACUGGAUAUUGAGCUAAAAAAUCAGUGGUAGGGGAAGUCUUACCAGCAGCUUAGGCAAAAAAAAAAAAAAAAAAAAAAAAAAAUUACCAGAGGAAGAAUAUAGCAUACUUGGAAAGGACACUGGCCCACUGGCCAGAGCAGGCUUUGGUUUUGUUAGUUAUGGACAGGAAACUCAUAACCAAAGGUGGCUUGGAAAAGAAGGAGCACAUGCAUCAAAGAAGAGGAAAUGCCACAGUGUAUUCACCAAGGCUCUGUUGAAUAGCAGUGGGAGAGCAGGGCUUUUUGUGCUUGAAUAAGAAAUUUAAAGCAGUCUUUUAAGAACAGUGUAAGAAUCUAGAAAAAGGAAACAACCUGAAGUGAUUGUGGGCAGCCCCUAGCAUCCUGGAAUAAAAAGAACUAUAUAACAGAAAACACAGUCCAACAGAAAUAAUGGGGACGAUAGAGGGAGCCAAAUUAAUUCAAAAAAACAUUGGUAUCGUAGGUCUUCUGACAAAAAGAGAGAUUAGGAGUCUUCAUUUAAAGUUCACAAAGCUCUUAGCAGGGUAGAGAGUGGGGAUACUACAAAGCUGUUUGACCCAGUGUCAAGAACAAGCAAAGAUGCAGCAGUAAGAUAAGCCACAGCUGGACAUUGCAGGAAUUCAGGGAGGAAUGUCAGCAGAGAGCAAGACAGAAAUGCAACAUAAACUCCCCUUACAUGGCCAGGGCACCAAAAGUUGGCUCCAUGGAAGAACUGGGCAUUAGGUAAUACUGUAGAAUGCUGUAACUAGCCCAAAGGAAACUGUGCCUGAGGAUUUGUCACCUCCAGAUCUUUCACACAGAACUGCUGGUAUUUUACAGUGCUCCUGAGUGUUGACAAAGUGCCCUGAGCUGGCCUGCCCUCUCCUCUCACAGUUACUGCAGGGAGCUGGAGCUGGCUCAAUCCAGUGCAGGCAGACACAAUACACAAGAGAUCAGAUUCUGUCUUGCUCAAGACCAAGUCUUGCAGUCAUUGUGCCUUGAAACACAGGCAGGGUUUCAGUAUAGCAUGUUGGUCUCCUUCAAACAAUAAAUGAACCAAGUCAAAAGCUUUUAGGGAAAACAGAUGCAAAGGCUGAACUUAGGAAGAUAACUAAUAAACUACUUUAAAAAUUGAGUACAUUUUGGCAAAAACCUUGGUGAGGAAGGCACAGGAAAUCUAUUUU